CGGGGUGUGGCUCAGCUUGGCUAGAGCGCCUGGUUUGGGACCAGGAGGUCGCAGGUUCGAAUCCUGUCCCCCCGA
rnacentral:tRNA from 1 species